GCCUCACCUUGAGCACGCGCUCCAGGAUCCGCUGGAUGGACUUGCACAGCUCCUCCUUGGUGGGCCCCUUCCCCAGCUCCUGGUGCAGGAGGGUCUCGAAGGUGUACACGGCAUUGUCCAUUUGCUGCGGGGCACACCAUGGGGCACCGGGCCAGUCCCUGCCUCGAGGAAGCAGAGAUCCUGGGCCCUGCAGGAAGGGACUUGGGGAGUAAGGAGGGCCUCCCGGAGGAAGGGGUCUCCAGGCAGAGACCCGAAAGAGGAGGCCAGAUCAGCCAGAGGAACGAGUGUCCCAGCAGACGGGAGCGCCCCAGAGGCCGGAGCAGGAGAUUCUUGCUGUCUGUGGACCCCUCAGUCCAGGGUGUGAAAGAGGAGAGCAAAGAUUAUGGGAUCAGAUAUAGAAGGAUGUGCACCCUGAGAACCAGGUGACUGAGAAGUGAGAGAGAUGGGCCGGCCCCCGUGUUGGGGUACGUGAAAAGGCAUGUAAGUUGUUCUACCUCCUGGCAGAAGCUCACUUCUCCUUCCCUCUCUCCCUCCCCUUCUCCUUCCCUCCCCGUUAAGUCCUUUGAUACUUCAGGAACCCACUUGGUUUAUAAAGCCUGGUGGAGGGGGUCAGUGAUCCCCUUUUUCUCGGAGUGCUGCCCCCGUUUCUCACACCCUCAGCCCUCCGCGUGUCCAGCAGCCCCUCUGGUGACAAGUUACGCCCUGGAUUGCAGGAGGGCCUGGCAGGGGCAGAGCAGACCCAGGCCUGGCAGGCACUCCACCCACCCCCCCCCCCACCCCCGGGCAGGGGCCUGGCCUCACCUCACC